rnacentral:lncRNA from 1 species
GCUCGGGGAGCUAGUGGAGCAGCAGUUCGGAGUCAGUGGUCGGGUAGCGGUCAAAGGGAUUAGCAGCAACAGUUCAGCAGUAUCAGGUGAGUUUCCCUUUGUAUGAAUGGGUCUACGGCCACAAUGCCGGCCCAUGUAGUUAUGAGUAGAAGACCCGGGGGUUAGCCCUAGGCACAGUAUGCUAGUAUGGUAUUCGGACGAGGUCCAAUGAUAGAGGGCGGGUGCCCAAGGAGUGGUUUAUGUGAUAGUUUAUACUUGUUGUCUGUGUGAUACAUGUACGUGCCUGGUAGGAAGGUGAGUGGGGGGCGAGGUCCCGUAUCUCACCAAUAGCAGAGUGUGGAUGGUGUUCCACAUCUCAGUAGCAGCAGUACAGGGGCGAGGCCCAAGCUAGGAAAAGAGUGAGGACGGGCGGGGCCCGUAUCUCACUAUCAGCAGGAGUAUGGACGAGGUUCCAUGACUCAUCAGUAGCAGGACACGGGCGGGGCCCGGAGAUAGGCGAGGCCUUGGAGCAAGAGUUGUUAGUAUAUGUUUAGCUUAUGUGUUGUUAUGUGAUAUAUGUAUGUGCUAGUAUAUGUUAGUGGGCGGGGCCCUGUGACAGGCAAGGCCUAAGUGAAACAGAUCUGUAUCCGAGCGGGGCUUGAAGCCAGGCGGGGCCUGGAGCCGCGGGGCCGUUGUAGCGGGCGAGGCCCGAAGUAGGGGGCGAGGCCUCAGAUAGCGGGCAUGGCCCAGUAUGUGCAGUAUGUGGUCAUGCAUGGUAUGUGGUAGGGUUGGGAACUCACUAAGUUUCGUGCUUANGUUUUCAGUUUUGUUUUCAGGUACUUCCGGUAGCGGAGGGAGGAGCUCGGGGUGAUCGCAUGGCACACACCAUAGAGUAGUCAGCCUGGGAAUGUUUACUCUGAUAAUAAACAUGUGUUUUGAAAACUUAUACUCAAAUUAUGUUUUGGAAUGAUGACUUUGUUUGAAGUAAUGUUUUAUUAAAAGAAAUUUUUGGUCUCGAAUUUUGGGUCGUUACAAGUUGGUAUCAGAGCCUUGGUUUGAGGGAUUCGAGCAUACUCUCGGGUGUGGCUGAACUCAAACUGAGGGGUUGGAUAAAAAGUUUUCAAAAGCGAAAAGACAGUUUUCUAAAAAGAAUUUUGAGAACAAAAAGCAGUUUUAGAAAAACAAAAAGAAUCCAGAAAAAGAAGAAUUUUGAAAAGAGAAAAAGGGGUGUGGUGCAUGCAAUCAACCGAGCUCAAGUAAGUACCCCAAAAUACCCAUACAAGUUUAUAUUAUGAUUAUCAGUUGGUAGAACAGCAUGCUAGAAUAGGACUAAGGAUCUAGGGAUGAUGCCUUAUGUGCCUGUUAUUUGUGCUUUUGAGCUGCAUAGUAGUGCUAAGUAGACAGUAGUAGGAUAGCCUGUUUAGGUUAUACCUGAGAUAUGAGUUUGUGUUUCAUGCUAGUUCAGAUUCUUGCUAUGUGGAUAUGAUUUCUUGAGUAUGUUAUGGUUAGAUUUUCCUUUGUUCGAAUGCUGCUUGCUUUGUGUAUUGUGGGAUUCUGAGUGAUGGGAGUUAGCCAUUAGGUGGAUACGACAAGUCACAUGCGAUCAGGGUUGAAUAAUCUCAGAGUGCUGGAUUUGGUCCUAUUACGCAGCUCUCGUCUGAGUCCAACCGUUGUAGCGACGAGUCUUUUACUUGAAGGAUUAUCUGAGCCUCGUUGCAUGUGAUGGUAUCCAGGUGAUGGCUAAUUGGCAUCAUAAGGAGACCUUCAGUAGGUUUGUGUUGAGUUAGAGGUUUCCCUAGGGUAAGCCUAGGAUGAGAUAGUGCUGGGAGCAGUAGUAGUGGUUAAGGGGUCUGGUGGAGUCAAAGCAAUUCCUGAGGAAAGUACGGAUAGAUAUGGAAGGUAGUAUGGGCCCGUACUACUGAAAGCAAAGGAUCCGUACUCGAUUCGGGAAGGGCCGAGACAAGACCAGGAACCUGGUAGGGUAUGUUUGGUCUCACAUCAGUGAUGAGUAUUCUAAUAGUGGUUGUGGUAUAUUUUCAGCAUGGUGACAUUGCGAGAGAGACCAGCGGGCGGGUCAGGCGCCGGAGAGGGAUCAGGCUCGGGUUUAGGGACCGAGCAGCUCGAGGAGCAGAUGAGAGAGUUGAUAUCAGCUGAGGUUACGCGCAGUAUUCUAGCUCAGACUCCUGUGAUCUUUGGCACGGUCAAGGAGGGUAUACUGGAGAUCUUGGAUGAGAGGCUGGGAGCCUUCCGUACUGAGAUGAUGGCAUUGAUGGGAGCGCGUACUCUGACAUUUCGAGAGUUCAGAGCCUGCGGGGCACCAGAUUAUCAUGGGGCUAGGGACCCCAUUGCUAGCAGCAGAUGGUUGGCUGAUGUUGCCAACGCUUUUCGUACGAGCAAGUGUCCCGAGGGGGACAAGGUUAGACUCGCCUCCUGUCUUCUGAAGGACAGAGCGAGGGAUUGGUGGGAGGAGAUUGGUCAUGCUUUGGGGGAUGAUGCCGCGUUGGACGCGAUGACUUGGAGCGAUUUCUCGGCCAGGUUCAGGGCGGAGUUUUCGCCGAUUAUUGAGGUGCAGCAGCUGGCACGAGAGUUUCAGGAUUUGACGCAGACUACUGAGACUGUGGCGGAGAUCACCGCCAAGUUCAGGGAGAGGGCUCUUCUUGUACCGCAGUAUGUAGCGGAUGAGGAGAUGAAGAAGGCUCGGUACCAUGAGAUGUUGAGGGACGACAUCAGGGAGUUCGUGAGCAGGUCCAGCUGUAAGACGCUGGAAGAUAUGAUUUCUCGGGCUAGGGAAAGGGAAAUUGAUUUGGAGCAGAUCCGGAAGAGGAAGCCGGAUGAGGUUCAGGUAUCAGCGGGUUCGNAUUGAUUUGGAGCAAAUCCGGAAGAGGAAGCCGGAUGAGGUUCAGGUAGCUGUGGGUUCGGGCAAAAGGCCCAAGGGAUCGGAUUCGAGAUCGAGGGAUCAUCAGGACCGCAAUCGGUGCGGAAAGUGUGGCAGGGCGCACGGGGGCGCGUGCAGGAGUGGUAGCCGUGGUGAGUCUGGUUGCUUCAAGUGCGGUCGGACUGGUCAUUUCAGCAGGGAUUGCACUGUUACUGCCGCGCAGGAAUCAGACUUGAUAUGUUUUCAUUGCAACCAGCGGGGCCACAAGAAGGCCCAGUGCCCCAGUUUGUCUUCGGCAGGACGGGUGAUGGCACCCGCCCUUGCAAAUUUGAGGAUCACAGAUGGCCGUCAGGGCCGGGUAGAGGCACAUGCAGCAGGGAGCAGGGCUUUUCAGAUGACGACCUUGGAGACGCUAGCGACGCCGGACGUUGCAGGGAUGCAAUUUCCAUUUCCAGUUCUUUUAUUUGUGCAUGAUUAUGUUGUUAUGAUUCUGCAUCAUCAUCGGUAUGAGUAUUUUAUUUAUGUGCGGUUGAUUAUGGUCGAGUUAUAUGCCAUCUGCAUACCUUGGAUAAUUGUAUGGUAGUUAGGGGAUGUGCUCUAUUGGAGAAGGUUACGUAGGAUGCAGUAGCUGUAGCAUGCUUGGGAGGGACUUAGUAUGUCUCGUUAGAUCAGGAUCGUGUAGUGUCAGAGAUGGAUUGGUUAGAUCCCUAGCUAUGGUAAGCUUGGGUUCCUCAGCAGAUUGAUUAUGGAAUGGUAGCAAGGAUUGGGUUUUCUCUUUGAGCAUUGAGCAACAAGGGGUAAGCAGGAUCGAAGUGGGGGAGAAUCCUCCGAGUAAGCCAGGGUAGGAGCACGCAGACCCAGAAGGAGUGCGCAACCUCCGAGGAGGAAAGGAAGUAGUUCAGCGUUCGAUGGAUUGAGGAUUUCAGGGUUGGGAGUUUGAGAAACUCCCCAUCAGCUAGAGCGUGUGUCGGUAAUGGUUAGUUCGUGGUUGGGAAUUCAGGUUGUUGAUCGCCCGUAUGACUCGAGGGAGUCAGAAUGAGGAUCUUGAGAGCUAAUGGCACAUGGGUGCCUUCGUAUUAGCAGUCAGUGGUGGAAGUGUUGUAAGACUACGGGGCAGCCGUAGCAUUCACUAGCAGUCAACAAUGGAUGGUGAUGUAAGGCUAUGGGUAAGUCGUAGCAUUCCCUAGUCGCUUCGUUAGCGGAGUUGGGGCGAGGCCCUUAUUUUCUCGUGAUCAGAUAGGGAUCGGGAUGGGUAGUCGUUGAGAAUGAUAGGGAGUUGCCUGUAUAGCCCUAGCAAGGUGAGACCUUGGGAGAGGCUGCUCCUGGAUAUAGUUGGGUGAGACCCGUGGGCGAGGCCCGUACGAGAUUAGCAGUGUAGAUAAGACCUGAGAGCAGGGUUGCUCAGUAGUAUGGUUGGGUGGUACCCGUGGGCGAGGCCCAUGGGUUUUUAGCAGCGCAGGUGGGACCUGGUAGGGACCUUAGUGUCAAGUUAGGGGAUCGGGGAUCCCAGGUUUGUAGUGCCUGAGUGGUGGAAUUGUUUGAGCAGUUAUAGGUAGUUGAGGUUUCUUUGGAAGUCGCUGAGAGCGACUUGUGUUGAUGUUGGGACCAGCUACCGGUGGGAGCCGGUAAUCCAGAUAUUGAUAGGUUGGUAGGGACCAGAGUGGUCUCAGUUCAACCGGAAGGCAGAUGAGGAAUGGCAGAAGUAUCCAGUCAGUAGUAGUGCGGGAAGGCGGGUUAUGUUGGAAUUCAGUUAGAUGAGUCGAGGGGUGCUCGACACCAAGUUAUGACAAGAGAGGAGUGUCAGUGGUUACUGGCGGUAAUGACCCGUACUGGAUUUAGCGGGAAUAAGGGAUUGGUGAAGAUAGGAUCUUCACAGUGGCUGAGGAGAUAGUUGUUUUUGGAGCAUCGCCUUGGGAAGGCAAGGGAAUGGCGUGAGGAAAGAAGGGGUGAACCCCUAUAGGUUCAGUGCAGUACUCGGUGAGUACCCGUCGGAUUAUCGGCUAAGUAAGUUGUGUUUCCAGAAUGUUCAGGGUCAGGGUUGACCCGAGAUGGUUAUUUGCAAGGGUUAAUGCUAGUCUGAAUGAUCAGGAGGAAGACCAUCGAAGGUAGGCAGCUGGUGUUGGAACAAUUCGUGGGGUAUUGGAGGCAGAUAGCAGGCGGUGAGAUGGUAAACUUCGAGGACGAAGUUUAGUUUAAGUGGGGGAGAGUUGUAACACCCAGGAUUUUGAAAGCCAAGAAAGUAAAGGAAACCCUAAAUUUAAGAGGGACUCGACGAGUCAAAGGAAGGACUCGGCGAGUCGGAGCGGGAUCCGGGUCGAUAAGAAAGUGACCAACUCGACGAGUCGGCCAAGUGGACUCGGCGAGUCUGGUCUGUGCGAGGAAAACCCUAAAUCCGGGGCUUGGAGCCUAUUUAAGCAUCUUAAUCUUCUUCCUAGGGCUCCUUUACAGCCUCUUGCACCCAGAACGCCGCACCUUAAGCCCCCAUUGUGUUCAUUCAAGCUUCUAGCCAUUUUUGAGUGGGUUUAAGGAAGAAGAAGGAGUGGGAAUCCUUGAAGCAUCAGGGAGUGGCUUUGGAUCUGAAGUUUGGGAAGCAUUUCAGAGCAUUGGAAGGUAUCAAUUCGUUUCUCUCCUCCAUAUUUUUCCUUGGUUAUGAGUUUUGGGGCUUUUAAGCCAUGUUUAAGACCAAUCUUGAGCUUGAGGUCCAGAUCUGAGGUUGCUACCUCAGAUCCAUGUUUAUUUUGGUUUGUAAUCCCAGAAAGUAUCAGCCAUUGGGUGGAAAUUGGAGUCUCUUGGUCCUAAACCCUAGCUAUGGGUGUAUUUUGCCUAGAUCUCCCUCUCUACACGUAAAGUUUGCAACUUUACGUGGGAAAUAGGCUUGGGGAGGGUAGAUCUACAGUUUGGAGCUCAUGCAUGACUCGGAAGUCCUCUGCAUGUAAGUGGAUCUUAGUGGACUCGACGAGUCCUUCGAGUGGACUCGGCGAGUAGCUUGAAGAUGAGGAGGAACUCGACGAGUGGGAUGAACAGCUCGUCGAGUCGGAUGAAGAUGGGCAUGAACUCGGCGAGUUGGAUGAACAACUCGUCGAGUUGGAUGAAGUUUGUCGUGUGCUCGGCGAGUCUGUUCUUAGACUCGGCGAGUCAGGUCGCGUAGUCCCAAACCCUUCGAGUUAAGACUCGAGUCAGCGAGUCGAGCAAGGACUCAGUGAGUUGGUCAGGACAGGAUUCAAGAAUCUGUAGACUCGACAAGUCAGGGGCUGACUCGGCGAGUCAAGUUGCGAUUGGAAGGACUUGAGCAUAAGAACUCGGCGAGUCAGUGAGUGGACUCGGCGAGUAGGGUUGACCUGGAAGGUUGACUUUGACCAGAGUUGACUUGGUUAACCUUUGGAGGUCAGUUAGACUAAGUGUUGGGUUGUUGUUGGUAGCUCGGGGAGCUAGCGGAGCAGCAGUUCGGAGUUAGCGGUCAGGUAGCGGUCAAAGGGGUUAGCAGCGGCAGUUCGGCAAUAUCAGGUGAGUUUCCCUUUGUAUGAAUGGGUCUACGGCCACAAUGCCGGCCCAUGUAGUUAUGAGUAGAAGACCCGGGGGUUAGCCCUAGGCACAGUAUGCUAGUAUGAUAUUUGGACGAGGUCCAAUGACAGAGGGCGGGUGCCCAAGGAGCGGUUUAUGUGAUAGUUUAUACUUGUUGUCUGUGUGAUACUUGUAUGUGCCUGGUAGGGAGGUGAG